rnacentral:lncRNA from 1 species
AGACACAGUCUCGCUCUGUCUCUUAGGCAUGAUCUUGGCUCACUGCAACCUCCACCUCCUGGGUUCAAGUGAUUCUUCUGCCUCAGUCUCCCAAGUCAAACAGGAUUUAUGCAUCAUCCAUCAUUUUUUACGUCUGAGCCACCAAGUAUUUAUCAGUGGGUGAGUUCUUGUCUGAAGGGCGAAGGAAUGCCGCCUUAUCCUUACCUCCCUGGAAUCUGUGAAAGAAGCAGACUUGUAGUCUUGAGUAUUGCACUGUACAUACUUGGUGAUGAGAGCUCAGUUUCUGAUGAAUCCUCACAGUAUUUAACCAGAAUAACUGUAGCCCCCCAGAAGUUGCAAGCAGAACAAGAGGAAAACAGGUUUAGUUUCAGGCAUUCUACGUCUGUUUCUAGUCUAGCUGAAAGAUUGGUUGGCUGGAUGACUAAUGUAGGAUUCACUUUAAGAGAUUUGGAAACUCUUCCCUUUGGAAUUGCUCUUCCCAUCAGAGAUGCAAUUUAUCACUGUCGUGAGCAGCCUGCCUCAGACUGGCCAGAAGCUGUCUGUCUCUUGACUGGACGUCAGGAUCUUUCCAAGCAGGCCUGCGAAGGAAACUUACCCAAAGGGAAGUCUAUGUUCCUUCAGGUACAGAAACUGAGGAGGAAGAUGACGGCAUGAAUGACAUGAAUCACGAGGUCAUGUCAUUAAUAUGGAGUGAAGAUUUAAGGGUGCAGGAUGUGCGAAGGCUUCUUCAGAGUGCGCAUCCUGUCCGUGUCAACGUAGUGCAGUACCCAGAGCUCAGUGACCACGAGUUCAUCGAGGAAAAGGAAAACAGAUUGCUCCAAUUGUGUCAGCGAACUAUGGCUCUUCCUGUAGGACGAGGAAUGUUUACCUUGUUUUCGUACCAUCCUGUUCCAACAGAGCCAUUGCCUAUUCCUAAAUUGA